rnacentral:sRNA from 1 species
AUUAUCGGCCUAAUCCUGGUACCAGGAACGGAGGAACCAAUCUUUUGGGGUUAAUUCUACAGUUAGUAGAAGGGAUGAGAAACUCUUUCGCCAUCCUACCCGUCAGCUAACUUCGUCGGCUAAAGCGAAGG